CUACGCGGCAUUCAAUAAGCAACAGGUUGAUUUCUAUUUUGAAAUAUUUUAAAAGUGUAGAUUUUUUAUUAAGUCGCCCAGGGUUCCCACGUCGGCAUAAUGAAUGUAACCUGAAGGAAGCAGAGAUUAUUGAAAUAUGAUGACUUCUGACUCCCUCUGAUGAGAUGUGGGGAUAAACUGCUUCAUUAUUGGAGGUUUUCUACCGAGUUUACAACUGUUUAUCUCAUCAAACUUGCUUUUGAAGUUGUAACAGUUUUAGGUUUUGUUGAAGUUCUACAGAUGAUGGGGUUCAGUAUCUUGUGAGGAAACAUCCUGAAAUACUUAUGGUUGAAAAAGAAUUUACCUGAAAAACAUGUAAAUUGACAACAAUUGGAUUGAAAAGGAUAUUGUGUCUUCCUUGACUGUGGGAAGAAGCAUUAAAUUUAUUUCUGGAAUAAAUGUCAACAUUGCCUCAAAACAACUCCAAACUCUACUGCUGAACUGUCAUAUAAAGGAACUCUAGAUAAUGACUGGUUUCUACAAAUAUUGGAACAGUGUGGAAGUACCCUUAAACUCUGACCUUAAACAAUUGGAUUGUUACUAGUGAAAUAUUGAUUAAAUACCAGGGAACCCAGCGCUAUUUAGAGGAUCUAAACAUGAAUUGUUGUAAACAACUCACAGACAACGGAUUAUUACUGAUACUUCAGCUCUGUGGGAGUACACUUAGAUACUUAAAUAUAUCAGGUACAGAAGAAACUGAAGAGAAUAUGAAGUAAAACUGUCUUGUUCAGAGCAAGUGUACAUGGAUAACUGUAGUGAGCAUACAAAUAAUAGAUUGUCGCAGAUACUUCAGCAUAUUAGAAACAGAUAAAACUGGGAACCCUGCCUUGUUUAGAAGACUUGUAUUUGGAAUACUGUUGGCAGCUUACAAACAACGGACUGCUGCAGAUACUUUAACUUUGUGAUAGUUCACUCAGUUCCAUAGAUUUAUAUAUAUUUUUACACUGCAAUUAAUUUUUUUUUAUAAAAAUUUUUUUGUCCUAAAUCUUGUGUAGUGAAUUUCUAGUUUAAACUAAUAUUAAAUCCUAGCUCAAGAUAAAGAAGUACCUUUCUCCCCCCCCCUUUUAAUUUUAUAUCCUUCCGACUCAAUUAAAACACCCCCCCCCCCCUCCACCCCAUCUCAUAUCGAUUUACAAUGUUUUCAAAUCUUAUCAGUUGACCAGUGUCUCCCCAACCUAUAGGUAAAAAUUUUAAUUGUUAUAAAUUGUAAACAUGUUUUUUUCUUUAAAUAAUUCUGUAUUAUAUACAUGAAAAAU
rnacentral:lncRNA from 1 species